AUUUAGCUGACGAGUCCAAAACUGGACGAUACGCGCUUCCCAGAU
rnacentral:hammerhead_ribozyme from 1 species